rnacentral:rRNA from 1 species
AGUGAACGCUGGCGGUAGGCCUAACACAUGCAAGUCGAACGGCAGCACAGUAAGAGCUUGUUCUUACGGGUGGCGAGUGGCGGACGGGUGAGGAAUACAUCGGAAUCUACUUUUUCGUGGGGGAUAACGUAGGGAAACUUACGCUAAUACCGCAUACUACCUACGGGUGAAAGCAGGGGAUCUUCGGACCUUGCGCGAUUGAAUGAGCCGAUGUCGGAUUAGCUAGUUGGCGGGGUAAAGGCCCACCAAGGCGACGAUCCGUAGCUGGUCUGAGAGGAUGAUCAGCCACACUGGAACUGAGACACGGUCCAGACUCCUACGGGAGGCAGCAGUGGGGAAUAUUGGACAAUGGGCGCAAGCCUGAUCCAGCCAUACCGCGUGGGUGAAGAAGGCCUUCGGGUUGUAAAGCCCUUUUGUUGGGAAAGAAAAGCAGCAGGUUAAUACCCAGCUGUUCUGACGGUACCCAAAGAAUAAGCACCGGCUAACUUCGUG